UCAGCUUUUUUUGGUUUUUGGUCCUUCAAUUUUUAUCUAAUAACAAAAUGAUAUAUUCUAUAUCUAACUUACUAUUAGAAGUCUAAGCUUCGAAUCUUGUCAACAACAUAUUUGUUUUAAAUAUAAAUCCUAUUAUAAUUACAAUAUAUAUUAUUCUAAUAUUAGCACAUCUUUUACAAAAAUAUUUUGAAAUACUAAUAAGAUCAUAAAUUUUAGAAACAACCCGUGCAUCGCACUAAUUAGAAGUUAGUUAGGUUGUUCUUGAGUAUAGCGACAUUAAUGGUAAUGGUUAAUGUGUGUGUAUACAUAUGGGAACAACAUAAACUGGUGUUAAUGGUGUGUGUAUAUGUAAGUAGUAUGCAAGUACAAUGUAGAUUUUCAGGUCUUUAAAAAUAAAAGACGUUUACUUGAAUAGAGGUAGUAGAUUGUUGUACAAGGUUUGCUAGAGUAGCCAAAAUUAGGAGGAAGGCUCAUGUAUUUUUUUUUUAGGUACUUCACCCGCAGAAUCUCGUAGCUCAAAGAUACUGAUAGUCCGGCAUUGGCCAGAAUACUAUGGGGAUGAGAUAGAACUUCACCCGCGGAAUCUCGUAGCUCAAUAAUCUUCCUAGACCACACAAGCUAUAAUAUAUUUCACAUUUAAAAUACAAUCCAUGGAAUUGGAGGCUGGAAGAUGCGUGCAGUUGAGUAAAUUAGUAUCCAUAU
rnacentral:lncRNA from 1 species